rnacentral:rRNA from 1 species
CAGUAGCCGCGGUAAUACGAAGGGGGCUAGCGUUGUUCGGAUUUACUGGGCGUAAAGCGCACGUAGGCGGAUCGAUCAGUCAGGGGUGAAAUCCCAGAGCUCAACUCUGGAACUGCCUUUGAUACUGUCGAUCUGGAGUAUGGAGGAGGUGAGUGGAAUUCCGAGUGUAGAGGUGAAAUUCGUAGAUAUUCGGAGGAACACCAGUGGCGAAGGCGGCACACUGGUCCAUUACUGACGCUGAGGUGCGAAAGCGUGGGGAGCAAACAGGAUUAGAGACCCGCGUAGUCCCUGUCUCUUAUAC